rnacentral:rRNA from 1 species
UGGGGAAUCUUGGACAAUGGGGGAAACCCUGAUCCAGCCAUGCCGCGUGAGUGAUGAAGGCCUUAGGGUCGUAAAGCUCUUUCGCCUGGGAAGAUAAUGACGGUACCAGGUAAAGAAACCCCGGCUAACUCCGUGCCAGCAGCCGCGGUAAUACGGAGGGAGCUAGCGUUGUUCGGAAUUACUGGGCGUAAAGCGCGCGUAGGCGGCCAUUCAAGUCAGAGGUGAAAGCCCGGGGCUCAACUCCGGAACUGCCUUUGAAACUAGAUGGCUAGAAUCCAGGAGAGGUGAGUGGAAUUCCGAGUGUAGAGGUGAAAUUCGUAGAUAUUCGGAAGAACACCAGUGGCGAAGGCGACUCACUGGACUGGUAUUGACGCUGAGGUGCGAAAGCGUGGGGAGCAAACAGGAUUAGAUACCCCUGUAGUCC